rnacentral:rRNA from 1 species
UACGGAGGGUGCAAACGUUGCUCGGAAUCAUUGGGCGUAAAGCGCACGUAGGCGGCCUGUUAAGUCGGAUGUGAAAGCCCUGGGCUCAACCCAGGAAGUGCAUUCGAAACUGGCAGGCUUGAAUAUGGAAGAGGGUCGCGGAAUUCCCGGUGUAGAGGUGAAAUUCGUAGAUAUCGGGAGGAACACCAGUGGCGAAGGCGGCGACCUGG